rnacentral:rRNA from 1 species
UACAGAGGUCCCCAAGCGUUUGUUCGGAUUCACUGGGCGUAAAGGGUGCGUAGGUGGUGAGGUAAGUCGGAUGUGAAAGCUCGGAGCUCAACUCCGAAAUGGCAUUGGAAACUACCUUGCUCGAGGGUUGGAGGGGGGACUGGAAUACUUGGUGUAGCAGUGAAAUGCGUAGAUAUCAAGUGGAACACCAGUGGCGAAGGCGAGUCCCUGGACAACUCCUGACACUGAGGCACGAAAGCUAGGGGAGCAAACAGG